rnacentral:lncRNA from 1 species
AUUACGGUUGGGAAACUUCUGCUUUUUGUUUUCAUACAUGCAGCAUACUUUGGAAAUUUCUUUUUUCAGAGGUGUUGUAUUGUUUUGUUCUUUUAGGUUUCACUGGGAUUUUGUUUUAUACAAAGAGUCACUAAGUUUACAUGCUGUCAAAAUCCAAUAAUGGCAUUAAUCCAACUAAAACUGGACUUUUGAGUUUGAUUCAAUUGUUUUAAGUCAAAUUCCUCAUCUUUGGACAGACAUAAUGUAGUUGUAGUUUCUCUUUCAUUGAGGCCCAAACUGGCUUAAGUGUUCUGUACUUGCUCUACAUUUUAAACAUCAAUCUUCGACCUGUGAAGUAUGCGCAGAACAUUUAGUCCGCUCCACAAAGGUUAUAGACAAAACCUCAACAGAAGAGGAAGAAAGGGAGCAAAAAAGGUAGGGUGGGCUUCCCUCCUGAAGCUGCUGCCCCCUCGACCCAGACCCGGAUGAAGCGGAAGAAAAUGACGACGACAAUGAUGUCCUCUUUUUGGGAGGCUGUCCGGUCUGUCCGUCUUUGUCCAGGGAAGUUUAUGAAUAUUUUUUAUUUUUUUAUUUUUUGAACAUAUUACAUAAAAAAAUGUCCGCGGUUUUGUAUGUAAGUUUUGAGUUUGUGUCACAUGGACUUAUUGAGUUAGAUGCGCGUAAAAGACACUCAAUCCAACCUGAAAAACUCUCAAAAUUAACUAACUCCAUGACUCUGCCACCACAUAUUCGUGUCCUCUUUUUUGGAAGUCAGGCUGCCCUUACUAACUUGUUUGUCGACUGUUUUGGUGCAAUUUUUCCAAAGCCUCCAUACAAAACAAAGCAUGAAGAGCCGGUUGAUAUACUUUGCAGGUUUAUUCGAGUUAUGUUUGGUGAGAACACCAAAUCCUUGUUAAAUAAAUGACUCAUACAGUUUGUUUGAUAAAUGCACAAGCUUAAUUGUCUCUGCUUAAAUUGUCUCUCUUGCUAACAUUGGCCCAUAACUAGCUUUACGCAGCUUGAAGCGGCGCUAUUGCAUUGUUGCCGCCGUUUGACCUGAAACCUUUUCAAACAACACGUGACUUUCGGUAUGUAUUACACUACAAUGUAAACUUAAAAACUGUAAAUAGAUGGCUGACUCAUUAUAAGCUCAUUACCUUUUCUUUGGUUACAAUCAACUACUGUAUACCUGCAGUUUGUCACACACCUUUGAGUUCACAGUUAACCUUGGUUGUAAAAAGUCACCUGGAGGGAGAGGCUUGGGCGUUGGCACACAGGUGCAGGUACACACAGGCGUGGGUGUGUUCACCAAGCGUUUUAAUUGCUAAUUGCUACUUAUAUUAAUUAACAACUAUAAUUAAAGUUAUUACGAAGUGUUUGUUUAACUUGUUUUACCUGAUGGACAUGAGGGUAGGUUCCUGGAUGUUGUGUUGCAAGGAGCGUGUUAUUUUUUAAUCACAGACUUGUUUUGUUUUCUUACUUCAUGGUUCUUCGAGGCUUGUAAAAUUUCGCCGGGAGGUAAAAUCUGAGUAGCGCCCAUUUUUUUUCCAUCCAUACAAACAAAUCAGAAAACAUCCUAUUUUAAUCUAACUAUGAGGUUAAGACUCAUCAGGAUCGAAACCCACCAUGAGUCUUUUCUCGUGUAAAACAUGGACAUGGUCUCAGAAAAAAUCAUAGAAAAGUUUGGGGGGAAAGCUGCAGGCACUUUAAACAAUCGCUCUCAUUAUCAUACUAAUUUCCUCCUUCAUUCUCAAAGUGGUUUUAUUCUCUAUGAUUUAAAGUAUGACAUUUUCAGCUGUAAGUGAUUCUGAUCUGCUGGUAUGCCCCGAUCUCCUCGUCUUUGUAUCUGACCCAGAGGAAAGGAAGGCCACUCCGACAGCACAUUAACUCACUAUCACUGCUUCUGUCACACACUGGGAAUUAUUGACCUUGGGCACCGGACAAUGAGGAGUUGUCUGGACCUGCUUGUCUUAUCAGUCUCCUCUGGUAGUCACUCUGGUAUCUCAGACUCUUAUCGAGUUUCCUUAGAAAUAAAAAAAACAAAAAACACUCUCCCACAGCUUCCUUCGAAAUAAAAGUUAAAGGAGGUGUGAGUGAAAAGACUCAGCUUUGAUCGGGAUCUUGAUUUCACGGUACUGUUGAGCAAAUCAAGUCUUUGUAUUUAACCAGUUUAAUGUGUCUUCCCCCACUUUUCACACAAGAUUCAUUUACAGGUCACCUGUGUGCUCUCAGUCUCUCUAAUUGACAGAAGCACUUUGCCAUAUUUUAUUCUUAUUAGCGCGACUGGUAUCACUUUCUCGCUGAGUACAGUCUGUUCUCUCCAUCAAACUAAACAUUAAAGAGUCGGAGCAUAUGUGCGCGACUGAUACAUGACGAUAGAUGACUGACAGAGUCUGAGCCCCACACUGACAGAGUUUUUAACCAUUUUAGUGCAAAAAAGAAGCUUCUUACUUGUACAUCAUGUAAGUGUCGCAACACUAGCUUUCAUUGUUGGUCGUAGGGCUGGGCGAUAUGGCCUCAAAUCAAUAUCACGAUAUAUUUAGCAGUUCAAUUCAAUAACAAUAAAUGGACAAUUACUCCACAAGCUGUUCACCCCCUCCCACAUUGACCUUGUCUACUUCAGCCACCGCUCCGGCCACUACGUGGAGUCAUGUCUCUGAUGUAGGACAGCGUCUUAAAGGGACAUGAGAUCAUAGCCUACCUACAGACAUUCAAAACCAACUUGAAUAUACCGAUAUGGGCAAAAUGACGUCGGUUAUUGUUGUAAAUUUUGAUAUCAGUAAAUUUUUGGUUUAUCACCCAGCUUUAGAAUAUCAGUCCAAUACUCAAAAUCUUUUGAUUCUGUUUUCGUCUGAAUUUGUUUCUCUUGAGCUGCUUGAUGCCCUAAAUCAUCUUAUAAUUCGAGCCAUUUUGAUGAAAACAAACGCAGCUUUAAAAUCACAGCUAGAUGAGAUGACAUUAUGAUGAAGUUCAGGUUGUAAAACAAAAACAAAGAGCUAAAAGGUGCUAAAAAAUGAGUUUAGCCAAGUACAACUACAUACUUGAGUGAUAGUCUCUCAGUCAUAAAAGAAUGAGUCACUAGAUAACCAAGGAGUCCAACAGACAUCUUUCUAGCAUUACCCAUUAAGAGUUUCCAUUUCAUCAGCUUCUUACAUAACCCAGGCUAAAUAAAAGUAACCACAUUUCUACAAAGCAUGCAGGUGAAACAAUAAUUAAUGUCAGUCUAAGUGACAAAACACAAUGGGGAAUGAGGCGAUUGAAAGCUGCUCUGCUUAUGUAUUGGUAGGAUAAACAAUAUUUGGGUGAAUAAAAAGUGACUGUUUUACGAGAUACGCCUUCUUAUGCAAUCGAAAAUAAUGACUCUGCCGUAUACUCAACUUUUAACAGGCCUGUAAAGUUUAGUUUACUGCGAUCACUUUCAUUCAUUGAGUUAUACAUCGAUUUAUCUGUCAUAUGACUGCAUAAGAUUGAAGAUUGUUACUGAGGAGAAAGACAGUAUAGAUGGACAAGCUGGAGAGGGUUGUCUAUUUAUAUCAAAAAACGGUUAGGAGGUCCUUUGAGUGCUUUGGUCCUUUGGCAGUAAACAGGAAGUGGGGGAUGUGAGGGAAAGUUUGAAAAAGAUAGUUAAAACUAUAUAAGGGGACUAAAUCAACGAAAGAUCAAACUGUUCACCUCAUUUCUUGUCCAAUUAAAACUAAAGAGGGGGUUGGUUGAGCAUACAGCCUCACAAGUGGGGUGACCUCUGCAUAAUCAGGCUCAUUCUUCCUUCCUUGUCUUCAUUUUAACAUCUCAGUUUUUCUCUUUCUCCUUUUUCAUUCAUAAAAACUGGACAGUUAGGGAAGGUAGAGCGUACAGCCCAAACUCUUCUCUCAGUUUUUACCCUUAUUGAAACAGGGGAGUAGGGGAGGUAGAGCAUACACCCCAGAUUGGAAGGGAGAGACAAGCUCUUCCUGUCGCUUCUUCCAACACCUCCCUUUUCUUUGAGUUUUCCCUCUCUGUUCUUACUCAUCAAACUGGGGGAGGUAGAGCGUACAGCCUAACUUGGUGGAGUGGGCUCCAUCCCUAGCAGGCUUUUCACCCUUCUCUGCCUUUCUCCAACAUGUUUUUUCUUUCUUUUCUAUUUAUUUUACAUUUUGGAAAUAGCUUCCAGGAUGAUUUGACCAACAUCAGUGAAGCUUAUGCUGGGGUCCAGUUGUACUUGGAAGUCGGGAUUUCCGAGCCCCUAGUCGGAAGUUUAUCUGGAACGCCCCCCUGAAAUCGGAUUUCCGACUCAGAAUGUCAGACAAUCCUCACUUAACGACAACGACAUAAUCCAAGAUGGCAGUACAGUGUAUCAACAGUAAAGAGUGAACACGGUGCUAUGGUUUUUGUAGAGUAAAAUACUGUGUUGUGUGUUGUUUACAACUGGUAUAGCUCACAACAACUAACAACUACCGACAACUGCUAACGACAGAUGACAAUUCCAACAACAUCUAACAAUGGGUAACUGUAGGCGUCCAUCUUGGUUUUCCGACUUGUUCACUGAAAUGCCGUCAACUCGGGUGUAGCGUCAUUCCCAGCUCUGACAUCAGACUUUCGAGGUAACUGGAGGUAAACAUUGUGAACAAGCUAUUAUAGGAUGGAGUUUCUUCAUCCUUUAGAGCACAAGUACCUUCAGAUGUACUUGAUAAAUGUGCCACUCACCGUAUGUGAACAUAACUGACUCAAAACUGUGAGCAGUCCCCUUUAGGACCACCAAUUACAUAUGAACUUAUUAUCCUUCUGUCACAUUACAGUUACAAAUUCCAAACAAUGGUGUUUUUACUGGGCAAUAAUCUCCUCCACCGUGCUGUUUUCAUUCAAUUUAUCAACUUUUCAGUUCGACCAAAACGUACCCUCAGACUCCUAAUGACUUAUUAAAAAGUGCUAAAAGACUGCAUAUGGUCCACACCGCAAAAUGUAUGACGGUUGAUGUACCGCUCAGCACUUACAGAGUCUGCUGCCUGGAUGCUGUUGUUAUGAAAGUUAGUCACUUAGUGGUGAUGGAGGUUGGGGCUAAACAAGUGCCAGGGUGGAGAAUGAAGGGCAGAAGAGGGCACCGGGGGAGGAGGAAUGGGGUUCACGGGCCAGCAGAUGUUUCAGUUUUUGGGUUUGGCUAGAAAAGGGCAAUUAAGAGCUGCUCUUAAUGAGGCUGGCAGCCACCCCAUAAACUGUCUGGUUCGCUGAAAGAGUUGCUCAUUAGACGGCGCUGCCCAGAAAAACGCCCCCCCCCCACCUCACUCCGCACACCUCCCAUGGCCUCCACCCUUACUGGAACAGGAAGUGAUGGAUCAGACAUUUGAAAAAUUGUAUGCUAGCACUGAACAAAGUUACCUUAUGUUAUGUCUGGCUUUGCUGACUGUGUGUGCGUGUUUUUGUGUGUGUGUGCAUGACUGUGUAUGCUUGUCUGCCGGCCUGUUUGUUGCAUGCCAGGCCAAGUGUGGUAAUGAUGCACAUUUUCCAUGAGGUAGCUUGCUGUGAACCACCAGCAUUAAAGCCCAGAGCAGUCGACUGAACAUUACUGAUGAGAGCGGCAACAUUAAAAUACCAAACGACCCAAAAUAGACCCCUCUAUGAUCUGCGGCGGAUCUUGUUUUCCCACCCUCAAUUUCUGUGCACCAUAAAUUUCUAAUUUCACUAACAAAGAACAAGAAACAGAGCAUGGAGAGCCGGUUUACAAUACAGCCCGCUGGUUAUGGCAGGCAGACGCAAAUACAAACACCGGUUUUCUAUACACUAGGGGAGCAUUUUCAGAUCAGCUCAGAGCUUCAGAGCGAGGUGCCAAAACUCCACGGGUGGACUGACACCAUGUUUGGAGAAUGUGUAAUAGUAUAAUUCAAAGUUUCUACAAACAAAUGUGCAAAUAUGUACAAAUAUUGUGUUGAGUUGUGUCCAUUGUCACCAACAACUUUCAGGAAUCAAACCGAGGCUGGGUUCACAGCCGAUUCUGGGCCUGACUCAAAUCUCCAAAUUAAAGUCAGGAAAGACUCGAUUAGGGAUUCACUGAUCCACAUUUUUCAUAUCUAAUCCAAUCUCUCUACCUAAAUACCGGAUACCUGCCGAUACAGAUACUAUUCCGAUACCAGCACUCUGUUAGCUUUACCAUCAUUAUUAUCAUUAUUGUUUAUUUUAUAUUAGACUAUAAUAAACUCCUCUCUACAGGCAAGUAUAUGUAUUUCCUGAACGGAGGUGUGUCUCAUCUCUAUGUCCCAUUGAGACACACCUCUGUUCAUGAAAUCCAUUAUGCAGUUUGCAUCCAGCUAGCAGACUGACUGGCAAGAAUCACUCCUACAGUCAUUUCAGCAGAACGAGUUAAAGCAAAGGCACGACUUCAGGAUUGGAAAUUUUCGCAGGCUUCAUCAGAAAAUUCCGAUCCAUUAAUUCUGAUCGGAUCAGCCCAAUUCCUAGACUAGAUAACCAGAUUGUUUCAAAGAUGAUCUUGCAAGAUUAUCCUGUGGUGUGAGGUGUGUUAAGAGUGAUUUUUCUUCCUUUUACUUGCAUAGAGGAUUGGAGCUGACUGCAAAUCAUAUAUCGAAUAUUUUCGAUGUUUAUGACGGCAUGUUCGAUAAAAAAAGGGGAAACUUGAUAAGAAACUUCCUCUGCAAUGGAUGUACCAGGAAGCAAAGCAGCUAGCAAUGGUUGACUCCCAUCGCCUGACAUGUAUUGUCACGCUAGGAAACGGCGGACUGAAAGAGACUUCAUCAGAUUUCAGUUUUGACAGUCAGGACUCUGGUUGCUGAUGAUCCUUUAACAUCAAACUGCUAAAUCUAUCAUACUCUGUCGUUAUGCAUGAAUUUUCCUUUGGGGAUCAAUAAAGUUCUUAUUGUUUUAUCUUAGCUGGUAAAAACUUCCAGGAUCAUCAUUAUUAUCAUUAUCAUGAAUCACAGGAGCUUCUUGUCCUUUUAGGCGCCGUCACUUCAUCGGGAUGGGAGGCAACUCAGACUCUGACUUCUCGGUGUCAUUCGACAGCCCUGUGGGAAACCGUCUGUCUUUUCCAGUGAAAUCAUUCAUUGUGAGACUUUUACAGAGAAAGAGGAUGUUUUCUGAAAUGUGCAGCAACUUGUCUGACACUGACCCAGUGACAGGCACUAGAAAUAAAAAGAAAUAAUGAAUCAUCUUCUUGAUGGAUGGUCUGGUUUGCUUUCAUAAGAUAACUAGGGGCAGUACUAUCAAUUUCAGUUCGUUUCAUAACCAAAUACAAACUCCUCACAGCAGGUUUACCUCUGGAUUUGUGAGAAUAUUGUGACCAACAUUAACUGCUAAAAAAAGAAAAUAAUCAUCUGUUUUUUCGUUAUGAGUAUUAUUCGCAGCAGACUUAAGUACCUCAACUUACUUCAGCUUCAAACAUGACAGUGUUACAGUAAAACAUUCAUAUUCCUUUAACACUCAGACUGAUAUUUCCCUCAUCACACCGACACGGCUUCACUAAAACCUUUCAUUGCAGGGCUGCACUUUUACAGUGUGGUUUUUGUACUUUUAUGUAUAAGUAUAAAGGACCCUGAAUACUCGGGUCCAACACUGAAGGGGGAUUCUCCUCUCUCACGCUAUCUGGCAUCGCCUGUCCUCGGACCUGUCUGGCAUUGGGAACGUUUGGCACAACGAUCCCUAUUGAGACAAAAACUAGGUCAUUUGCAAAGCUCUGGCUGGACACGCGCAGUGGAAAGAAAAUAAACGAGGAGGUGAAUGAAGCUCGACUGGAGGUGGACGAGCUUCCUGCUCGGGCCACAGAGGGAUGAGGAGAGGGAGGUUAAGAUAAUGCUAAACUGUGAUAAUAUACGGCUGAUUCUGGUUUUCCUAUAGCUGUGGAUAUAAGCAUGUCUAUAUUAACUACAUCUUUUUUUUAAUGUUCCACAUUCUGUGUGUGAUGUGGCUGCAGAAGUUUCCUCCUGGUGGGUCCAAAAAAACAUCUAUAUCAUCUUAUAAAUCAUUGAGGAGUCUCUCUUUUAUAAUCCACCCCUCUUUUUUGUCUCUGCAGAUAUUAUGAACAGGCCUCAAAUAAUGUCUGAUAGCAAUUAAGCUUCAGAGGAUUUUAUAAACAAAUAAGUCACAACACACAUGAUGACCCAGUGUUCACACAUGUUGUUGUCAUCAACACUAGAAAUAUCUGGUGGAAACUCGCCAGGCGGUGAGUGAGAAUCAAAACUGUCACAUCAGGGGGAUCAGGAGACUUUGAGAAAGGAAAAGCAAUAUAAGUGUAGUGUUAGAGUGGAAAUAGAUUCUGGCUUAGAGAUGGUUUAUUAGAGCCAAACAAAAAAAAUAAACUCUCACACCUGAAAGAGUGAUAUUUCUGCGCUUCAGUCAACAGUACAGAGAGUUAUGGAAUCGAUCCCUGCCCCCACAUCCUCCCUCCGCCAUGAGCUCGAGGCGUAUGUCUGCCAGAUGUCCACGGCAAAGAGAGGGGAUAUGAAAGGGCUGAAGACUGCCAGAGGUGUCUUAUAUCGGAGGAAUUAUUAUCCUAAUGAUAUAACAUAACACAUGCCGUCAGUCCCUCCAAGAGGACAACCCCCUGAUCUGCGCGAGAGAGCCACGUUACUUUCAUUCAGCUGACCUUUCUGGAAAAGCAGAGGGGAGGAAGAUUAUGGCGGGGAGUUUUUCUUUCCCGGCCAGGACCGACUCCCCCACUGUGAGUACCUGGGAGUACAAAGAGGAUCAAAUCUUUACCCUCCUUUAUUUUACACAAAGCAACUGUUCCAAGAGUUCACUGAGUUCACAGAGAGGAGCCAAAACAGAUAACGUUUGAUUUGUUAUGGACCAUACAUCAAUUUUACGUCUAUCUCCUAUCGUCGCCAAAAAGAUGGAUUAUUUACACGCGAUAGCACAUCUCUCAUUCCUUUUUUAUAAAAUAACAUGAUAUGACGAGGCGGGGAGAGCAGCAGCAAAGACUCAUCCCCAAUUUCAACCGCAUCUGGAAUGGCUCAGCAACGGAACGGCAGCGAUUUUUGCCAUCCAAGAAGUUCAUGGCGGAUUUCGUACAGUGGGAAUAGCAAGAACUCACAAGAACCCGCGGAUUCACAUGCAAUCACACGAUAACGAGUUGUCUCUGUAAAGACAGCCACAUAACCAUAUAAGCAUAUAAGCAGUAGAUUAUGUCCUUCCAGAGGAGAAAAUCCACUUCCAGACUUCAAGAAUCAGCAUGAAACAUGGAGUGUUUUAUUUUGAAAAGACGCUGUGCCUGUGCCCGACUUCCUUUCCAGCACGGGUUAAUCUGUGCUGAAUUUACGCGGCAUGCUGUGGCAUCCAGAAAAAAUAGAACUCUGGUGAUCGGCUGCAGAGUCGGCUGAACCGUAUCAGGACGGAAAGAAGCCGGUGGAAAUUGACACUUUAACUGGAGUGGUUACAAUCAGCAGUGAUCGGCGCGUCGGCCUUUUCACAGCCGUUAUGGAUGCAGUGGAAGUUGGGGGUCACAGAGCAGGUAUCAGCGACACUGGUUGAAAAAAAAAAUCAGACACAGCACAAAAAAAGAGGAGCUGAAGUUGCAAAGUGGUUUAAGGAGGAAGAAGGAAGUGUAGGCAGGCUAAUGGUAGUUUAAAUAGAAUAGACCAUGCUGGUAUUUGCCAAGUGGAUGAGUAGGAGAUCAUCAACUGUCAGCUGAUACAGGCUGGUGCCAGGAUCAUCUGAUGUACGGUGGUUUGCGCUUCAUUUGGUGACCUUCCUGGACUUUUGCUAAACUCACUAACAGAAAAACGUGGAAAAGUGCAAAUGAGGCCCUCAGGUUUAAAGUCGUCUUUUGUUUCAUCCUGAAAAAACAGAACUGAUGUGAGGCGAGAAUCGUCUUUCAGUUUUUAUUUUGGACGCCAACAACUCAAUAAACAGCCCAAAACAGAGAGAGAGGCCUUAGCACCAAUGUUUGGUAUGACUAAAAAUGGCAGGAUGUGAAAGUAAAAGCUUAUCCAGAUUGAUGGUUUGUGGUCAUUGUGGUUCUGUGUCAGCUGAGUCAAAGUGGAACAAAAGGGGGAAAACAGUCCCGAGCAGACUGAAACGGAAUAAUCUUUGUAAUAGACAAAGACACAGGUACAGGGGUUUGAAUAAGGGAUUUGUCUGAUUAGGAACCGAUAAUAAAAUCAAACUCUGACCCUGUGAAGAGGCUCCAAAACUCCCUGGCUGUCGUCCUGCUUAUUUAGCGAACACAAGCUGAAAAACUCUCAGAGAAAAUCUAAUAAAGAUGCCUGAAAUCUGUCCUCCAGCUUGUUCGAGGUUGAUGUAAACUAUAUACACGCCGGGUAACUGGAUACAGCACCUUGACUGGAGUGGUACCAUGUAGCACACAUGUAUACAGACCCUGGUAGAUGGAUAUCUAGCCUUCAGCCCCUGGAGCUUUCCAGUGAAUAGAUGAGGCGGAGGGUAGACAGUACCUGACAUUUACUUAGUACAGCAGGAUAGACAGGCCAUUGUCUUUGCUGAAAUGAGAAACUCUGUCGCAGAAGGGUGAAGGGGGGAGAAAGAGGGCGGUGUCAGACAACCUGAUAUCAAUCUAAUGAAAUAAUAGGGAGCGCUCUGAUGUGGAUAUCUGGGAUAUCUAGACGUUAUACUCCUAUUGACAAAGUCUCCCUCCGCCUUGGGAAGCAAAAUCGCACAAAAAGAGGGUGAAACAGUAAAGCUCUGAGGUGAGCACUCACUUUCACUGCCGCAAAAGGAGAUGACACAUGUUAAAUAAAAAAACAAAAAAAAUCCCCCUGAACAUGAAACUCCUGUAGAUGUGACCACAGAUAAACUUCAAAGGUUUGGUUGAAGUGACACCGAGGAGCGUUUCAGGGCUAAAUGUUGCUCCGUGUGAAGACUGUUUCUUGAUUUUUCUGGCGAUAACUAAUAUAGAGGUAAACAGAUUUGAAAGGCGGCGCAUACGGCCGGCAGAGACAAACAUAUAAGCCGUCUCUCCUGAGUCGUCCACGCAGUGUCAAAAGCCUGGAUUACUUUUUCCCGCGUCUGUGCAGCCGGCCAAACCGACGGGCUUUUACAAAACCAGCACGAACCGCUCAGCAUCCAUCAGAGAGAAAAAGAGGAAGGGAAAGAAGAAGUGGAGGGCUGGUGAAAGGAAGUGAGACUGAGGCCAACGAAACAUCUGCUGCAGAUCCUUUUUAAAGCGGAGUCCGUCCCCUUCUCAUGGAUUGUUUUGUUUGUGCAUGGGUCAGAAACACACGCCAAACACACACACACAGACACACACACACACACAGAAAGAAAAGCUCGGAGAUGUGUGCGCUCCCAGGGAGAAGUUAAUAAGUCAAUAGGACACAGCUCCCUAUCUUAUUGGGCCUUGUCUUAGCAGCUCGCCCGGGAAAAUAAUAAGUGGGGCCGACACAGAUCAAUGUUAUCUUUUCACUCAUGAGGGGGAGAAGGAGCGAGCCAAAGAGCCCGAAAAAAAGAACAAAGGAGCAAAAAAAAGGAGGAGAAAAAAAAAGGAGGGAAGAGGAGAAUGAAAAGCCCCCUUCUGACUCGCAGUGACCCACAUACAUUUGCCCAGCUUUUUCUGGGGCUCCAUCUCUCCUGGCAACCGGCAGCCUCUGUGAAAGAAUCCCAGCGUUCAGCCAAAGGCAAAGCCCAUGUGAGGGGGAGGUGGGGGUGGGGGGGUGGCACAGAGAGGGAAAGAUGGAGAGAGGGGGAGGCAGGGAUGGGUGGACACCAGGCCCCUCCUUCUUCUCAUCCGAAGGCCCGUUGCUGCUGGUGACCGUUGCUGAAUGGAUUCCUCCAGAUCCAGGAAAAGGCAAACAUAUACAGCACGUAUUGUUUACAUGUUUAAAGAAGGAGAACUGAAACAACAAAGUAAAAUGCUCGUCUUACUAAUAACUAAACAAACACGUGGUUGGCCUUUAAGAGCGGGGACUUUUCUGGUUUUCAUUUGUGCUGAACUUAUAGUUUGAGUCCCACAUCAGCAGGCUUUUGAGGAAAAACAGUAAGGAGAGCAAAAACAGGCAGAGCUUGAUCUUUAAUAACGACGUGUCAGCUCCCUGUGGUGGUAAUCAAGUGAAGGGCUUGAAGCAGAGAAAAAUUGGGGGGGGGGGGGCACUAUAUGACAGUGGAGCUAUUGAUUAAUAUUGGAAGAUAUUAAUGAUUCUUAACAAUACAAAUUCGCCAAAAUUAUAAAAAGGCGCAUUUUCCUAAAACAGCUGUUGUAGUAUGAAGAGUCCCUUGGUGUGUUCGGUGUUUUGGGGGUCUCUAAUGUAUAACAGUAGAGCUAUUGAUUAUUGUUGUGCUAUUGCGACAUAACAGGGGCAUCAUUUGUGUUUAGACAAUGUUUUCGUAUCAGAGUUAUAUAUCCCGGAAGUCCACUGUGUCAGGAGAUCAGAACUCCAUUUUUUCAAGAAUAGCGCUUCGCGAAUUUGUAAUUUUUAAGCGUGAUUAUGGCAGGACAUCGAUGUUUUAGAAAUGCUACAUCAAAAUCAGUCCAGAGCAGCUGAAAAGAUGCUGCCAAAACUGCAUCAGGAAAAGAAAAGGACGUUUUUAUGAAGGGUAUCUUGUUUGAGAAUUAACUUCCUAUUUACAGAGAAACUGAGACUGACCAGAAACAGAUGAACAGUACCUGAAGGAGCACAUUUUGCCGAGUUUUCACCUAAAUCAUGAAAACAGCUGUCCUGCUGCCAAUGACAUGCUUUCAUGGCAACCUUUGUUUACUGUGGGCUCAACAAAGAGCUGUACAAGCAUUUCUGUUAUUAAAUAACUGUCCUGGACACGACUUCAAAAUAAAAGCAUUGAGUAAAAAUAAGUGUGGUCUCUCCUUAGUUAGAAACUGAAUUAGUUUUAACUUUCAAAAGCACUCCAGAAGUGUUUUUAUACGAUAUUAUUAUUCACACUUCUGCAUAUUUCAUCUGAGAUCCCCUCGUGGCUCAAAAAGGAGAACAGACAUGUUUUUAUCCCAUUUUGAUGUGCUGCUCACACUAAUAAUACGAACUGCAGACAACAUACUUCCUGUGUAAAGCACCAGGAUGCAGUUGGUUGUGGAAAUUCAAGUAAGAUCAGACAGCAUACCAAACUGAAUCAAAACAAGGAAACACGCUGAUGCUGAAGUAAAAAGAGACAACAUUUUUCGCUGGAAUAGAACGUCAGCAAAGUAUCUUACCAUGUGAGCUACUCGGUGCUGAUUUUUGCUCUUUAGUUGGUUGUUUGAGGAUUUAAAAUUUAAUGAAGCUCUUUCAGUUUAAUGACGAUAAAUUACUUGUUGUAUAAAUCUCUUUGUCACCUUUAGGGCUGAGGGAAUCGGAGAUAAAAACAGACUUAUUUUGGCUCUCUUGUUUUCCCGGUUCAGAAGCAGCAGCUGCAAUCAGCCAACACACUGAAAGAGACCAGUAAAAGGUUUUAAUAGGGUAUUUGAUUGGGGCGUCCAGACUUGCAGCCUAAUGAUGGAUGAAUGCGGAGCCUUUUAAGCGACAGUGACAUAAUCAGAGAGCUGUAGGUCAGCAAGUGACAGCUGAGUGGACGGAGAAAGAGCCCUUUCAGCCCCAACGCUCACGGACGCCGAUCCAAGUUCAUUAGCAGUCAGCGGGGCUGCAGGGUCUGCUGCAGGCUCCUCUGAACUACACAUGACACACACACAUAUAUACACACACACACACAUACACAUAUCAGCAUGCAAAGACAC